rnacentral:lncRNA from 1 species
AUCUUAUUAUAUAAUUUUUUAAUGGACAAUUGCUUAUAUACUCUUAAAAAAAUUCUGACUUUCUAAUUUAUUUUUUUUAGAAGGCUAAUAUUAGAAAUACUCUUUUUACGUUCCAACUUAUUUCAAAUAUAUCUCUAGAGUUAAGUUCUGUUAAUAAACUGUUAGAAAUAACUGUUAUCUCUAUGAAAUUACUAUUUUAUCGUUUCAAAUACACCCUUCUAUCAGCACCAACUUUUCUUAUUUGCCUUUAAGUUACGGACACCAAAAAUAUUUUAAUUUUUGAUCUUUUCAAAUAUACCCUUUUAUCAUCAUCAACAUUUUUUAUUUACCCUUAAAUUAAGAGCAAAAUAUGUGUUUUAAUUUUUUUUAACUUUGGUAAAUAUUUAACUCAGAUUUAACACAUGUUAACUUAACGGGUAAUAAUUGAAAGAGUAUUUUGAAAUAGCGGAGAAACAUAUUAUGGGUAGAUUGAAAAGAAAAAAAAAGAAUAAAUAAAAUAUUUUAAAAGUUUUGACUUUUAAGGAAUAUAUAAGUAAUUAUUUCUUUUUUAAUUAUAGCCAGUAAGGACACCGUCAGAAUUAUCCUUAAAGAUUACUGAUACGCAAACAAUACAUGUUAUUUAAUUUACUGACGACAUGUACAGAAUAUGAUCAGCGCACUAGCAACACUUUAAGAGUCUCUAAAUAUGAAUCACUCCUUAGCUACUUUCGUUUUAUUUUUUUGGGGCAAUUGCUUAUAUAUCUUUAAAAAGUUCUUGACUUUCUAAUCUAACUUUCUUAAAAGGCUAAUAUUUUUUUUGAGAAAUAAGUAGCACGCUAGCCGCUUCAUUCAAUGGAUUGGUGAAUUAAGCUACAAGUGUUGGGCAACUUGGCCCCGGAGGCUAAGAAACCAAAAAAAAAUAAAAAAAUAAAAAAAUAAAAAACUAUGAAUCAAGUAAGAUAUCCUACUCCUUCAAGAGAAGCUUUAGUCUAUGGACCACUAGCUCAGGAUUUGGCACUAUAUUCCGGAAGAUAAAGUCAUUUCUGGCGUUCCAAAUGGUCCACCAGCAACCUACUAGUUCAGUCAAACUAGAUCUGUUUCUUCGUUGAUCCUUUCUAUCCUUCCACCUAUCCCAAACGAGCUUCACAUCAACCCCCAGGUCACGGGUCUGAAUAUCGUCUACCCCAGUCACAAUAAUGAACUUGCUGAAAACACAACGGCUAAACAGGUGGUCUGCUGAUUCCUCUUUCAACCUGCAUAGUGCACAAGUAGAAUCGUUUAACCACCCUCUUUUGCAAAGGAUGUCUCGUGUAAGGACCCGUUUCUUGAGCAUGAGCCAGCUGAACACCUUUACUUUUAGUGGGACUAUAAGGUUCCAAAUUUUGGAGCAACGUGCGUCUCUCAUUCUUUCGUCCGUCAAUGCCGAAUAGGUAGAUUUGACCGAAAAGUGUCUGUCGGUACUCCAGCGCCAAGGAGCAAGUCCGGUCUAUCUACGACAGUGAAGGGCGAUAACAUUUCUUUGAGUUCUGAGAUGCACGGUAAUACCCCCUGUAAUUGGCCGACGUCUUCGCCCAGGAUUUUGGUCCAGUUCUAGCUACCCCUCGAGAAGCAAUCUCUCACUCUAACAUUUUUUCCCUCGGCCCAGAGGUACACCUCCGGAAAUCCCAGUUUCAACAUUUUCUCCCCGCACCACCGAUCCAGCCAAAAGUCGAUAGUACACCUAUUUCCUAGUUUGAAAUCCGCGCCCCAAUUAAAGAUGGUCUUGAGACUAGGAAUGCCCUUCUACCAGUUAGAAUAUGGUCUAAAGGAACUGCCUUCCCUCAGUGGUUUUCUUCUCCGGUAGUAUAAAUCUCGGAUUAACUUGUUCCACUGGACUUCCGGGGCUCUGUAGAAUUUCCACCACCACUUGGUAAGGAGCGCUUGGUUCAUGGUAGCAACAUCCAAGAUACCUAGACCGCCUUCCAUCUUGGUCUUGCACACAUUUUUUCAGGCCACCAAACAGCCCUUACCAGGGGUGUUACGACCGCCAUUCCAAAAGAAGUCUCUUCUUAGGUCUUCGAUGCGCUUAAUCGCCCAUAAAGGAGCCUUAAACACGGAUAGGUAAUAAAUGGGUAGGUUGGUUAAUACCGCAUUGACCAAGAUGAUUCUGCCCCCCCUAAAAAGGAGUUUGGCUUGCCACCCCUCUAUUAUGCGCUGUAGCUUCUGGAUGACCUCCCUCCAUGCCUCCUUGGAUGGCGGUCUGGGAGAGAGUGGAAAACCCAAAUAUUUGGUCAGGAAGGAGCCCACUUUGUACUUCAGGAUGUUUGCUAGUCUAGCUCCCUUACCUUCCUUUUGUCCCAGGUAAUAAAGUUUCGACUUCUUCCUAUUGAUUUUCAUACCCGAUGCCCAUUCGAAUAGCUGCCAUAAGAACCUAAGGUUUUUCAAGUACGUGCUUUUUGCCUUGCAAAAAAAGAACGUGUCGUCCGCGAACUGAAUGAGGGUGACCUUACUAUCCUCGGUCGGGCCAAUGCCUUUAAAGAAAUUAUUAGAGAUUGCCACUUUGGUCAUUCAAGCCAGGCAUUCAGCUACCAAUAAGAACAGAUGAGGCGAGAGUGGGUCCACUUGCCUUACGCCUCUCUUCGUCUUUAUCCAUCUGGUCGGCUCUCCAUUGACCAGAAUCGCCACUUUCGCGUGACAAACGCAAGAUUCGAUCCAACCACACCACUUGUCGUUGAACCCCCACCAAUGUAGAAUUUGAAAUAAAAAUGGCCAGUGAAUCCUGUCGUAUGCCUUUUCAAAAUCCACUUUUUACAUUCCAAUCUUUUCAAUAUACCCCUAGAAUUAAAUUAUGUUAAUGAACUGUUAGCAAUAACUGUUAUCUGUAUAAAAUUACUAUUUUGCCUUUUCAAAUAUACCCUUCCACCAUUACUGUCUUUUCUAAUUUGCCCUUAAGUUAGGAGUAUAAAAAGUCUUUUAAUUUUUAAUCUUUUCAAAUAUACCUUUCUACCAUCACCAAUAUUUCUUAUUUGCCCUUAAGUUAAGAGUAAAAUAGAUAUUUUAAUUUUUUUUAACUCUAGUAGAUAUUUAACUCAUGUUUAAUCUAAGUUAACUUAACGGAUGGUAACUGUAGGGGUAUUUUGAAAUAAUGGAGGAA